GAAAAGUCAACAUUGUAUCCAUUAAAGAUUGUGCUGAAGUAUAAGGGUAUCUGAAUUUGGAGAAAGAUCUUGAUUCUAUGACCUCUGCUAUUGUUUUCAUGCCUUGUACACAUCUUUGAUGAGACCAGCUUGCAUAGGGGAGUGUAGAAGGUGUGGGUUGAUCCCAGGUAUGCCUUUGGGGAACUGCAUUUCUGAAGACAGGAGAAAAUGGAAUCAAAGAAGAAUUAAUCACGGCAAUUUUACAGCAGGAAGAGAUACGUACCUUUCUCAGAAAAACAAGGA